CGGAGUAUAGCUCUGUAGUAGAGCGUUCGACUGCAGAUCGAGAGGUCCUCGGUUAAAACCCGGGUGUUCUCU
rnacentral:tRNA from 1 species